rnacentral:rRNA from 1 species
CCUACGGGAGGCUGCAGUGGGGAAUAUUGCACAAUGGGGGAAACCCUGAUGCAGCGACGCCGCGUGAGUGAAGAAGUAUUUCGGUAUGUAAAGCUCUAUCUGCCGGGAAGAAAAUGACGGUACCUGAUUAAGAAGCCCCGGCUAACUACGUGCCAGCAGCCGCGGUAAGACGUAGGGGGCAAGCGUUCUCCGGAUUUACUGGGUGUAAAGGGAGCGUAGACGGGAGCAAAAGUCGGGAGUGAAAUGCCGGGGCUUAACCCCGGAACUGCUUGGGAAACUGUGCAGCGAGAGUGCAGGAGAGGUAAGUGGAAUGCCUGGUGGAGCGGUGAAAUGCGGAGAUAUUAGGAAGAACACCAGUGGCGAAGGCGGCUUACUGGACUGUAACUGACGUUGAGGCUCGAAAGCGUGGGGAGCAAACAGGAUUAGAUACCCUAGUAGUC